CUUGAUGGCGCCCAGCCACAGCGGGCGGCCCUCCGCACGCUCCUGUCCGUAGGUCGCGAGCAGCGCCUGCGCCUC
rnacentral:antisense_RNA from 1 species